UACGGACCGUCCAAACGUUAUUCGGAAUCACUGGGCUUAAAGGGUGCGUAGGCGGUCCGGAAAGUUGGGUGUGAAAGCCCUCGGCUCAACCGAGGAAUUGCGCCCAAAACUUCCGGGCUUGAGGGAGACAUAGGUGAGCGGAACUUAGGGUGGAGCGGUGAAAUGCGUUGAGAUCCUAAGGAACACCAGUAGCGAAAGCGGCUCACUGGGUCUCUUCUGACGCUGAAGCACGAAAGCUAGGGGAGCGAAGAGG
rnacentral:rRNA from 1 species